AGAGCGAACGCUGGCGGCAGGCCUAACACAUGCAAGUCGAACGGACCCUUCGGGGUUAGUGGCGGACGGGUGAGUAACACGUGGGAACGUGCCUUUUGGUUCGGAAUAGCUCCUGGAAACGGGUGGUAAUGCCGAAUGUGCCCUUCGGGGGAAAGAUUUAUCGCCAUUAGAGCGGCCCGCGUCUGAUUAGCUAGUUGGUGAGGUAAUGGCUCACCAAGGCGACGAUCAGUAGCUGGUCUGAGAGGAUGACCAGCCACAUUGGGACUGAGACACGGCCCAAACUCCUACGGGAGGCAGCAGUGGGGAAUCUUGCGCAAUGGGCGAAAGCCUGACGCAGCCAUGCCGCGUGAAUGAUGAAGGUCUUAGGAUUGUAAAAUUCUUUCACCGGGACGAUAAUGACGGUACCCGGAGAAGAAGCCCCGGCUAACUCGCGCCAGCAGCCGC
rnacentral:rRNA from 1 species